rnacentral:rRNA from 1 species
GACGAACGCUGGCGGCGUGCUUAACACAUGCAAGUCGAACGGAAAGGCCCUGCCUUUGUGGGGUGCUCGAGUGGCGAACGGGUGAGUAACACGUGAGUAACCUGCCCUUGACUUUGGGAUAACUUCAGGAAACUGGGGCUAAUACCGGAUAGGAGCUCCUGCUGCAUGGUGGGGGUUGGAAAGUUUCGGCGGUUGGGGAUGGACUCGCGGCUUAUCAGCUUGUUGGUGGGGUAGUGGCUUACCAAGGCUUUGACGGGUAGCCGGCCUGAGAGGGUGACCGGCCACAUUGAGACUGAGAUACGGCCCAGACUCCUACGGGAGGCAGCAGUGGGGAAUAUUGCACAAUGGGCGGAAGCCUGAUGCAGCAACGCCGCGUGCGGGAUGACGGCCUUCGGGUUGUAAACCGCUUUCGCCUGUGACGAAGCGUGAGUGACGGUAAUGGGUAAAGAAGCACCGGCUAACUACGUG